CUCAACUCACCACACUCUGCGUAGCCACAAGCAUGAACGCCACCGUAGCUCUGGUUUGUCUCUAUUCGCCCAAGGUCUACAUAAUAGUCCUUCAUCCCGACAAAAACGUUCGAAAGCUGACUAUGAACAGCGCCGCAUACAAAAAGUACAAUUCCGGAUCUGUUCCAACAUCAACUGGCGCUGUUCCAUCAACUGCUCAUAAGGCCAACUCUGAAGGAGCUGAAACUAUUCUGAUGCAGCGGGUUGGACCCAAUACUCCAUCAAGAAGUUCUUGUACCGGUGCAAACGCAGAACCAUUGGAUAAUGUAGUGCUUCUGUGAACUCCUCAUUAACUGAGGUAAUUGAAAAUACUGGACAAUUCAGAGUCUGCACGAGAAAUGGAUGUGUGUCGGAUGAUUCUCUCAGAUGUACAUGAUACUUUGCAGAACUGUAAAAUCACCUGCACAAAACUAUAUUUCGACGCUAGUCUUAAUGUUGAACGGAAUGUCAAUAUUUUGUCAAUUAGAAAGGCUUACGAGGCACUUCAUUAUUAAAACAAUGACUUUAAUAAGUCUAAAUAUUUGUCUAUUGAAAAACUCAGCCCAGUAGAAAAUGCCAUUUUCUGUAAUGUUGUUCCUGUUCGUCCCAUUCAUUUGUUCAGAGUUGAGUUUGGAUUUUAGCUUAUAAAAAAUGAGGUUUUCAAUAUAUUCUCUCGAUUUAUUCAACUUGUAAAAAUAUUGAAAAAGGACUGAUGAGAGAAUAUGUUUAUCUGUUGUGAUAUUUUUGUUCUAUGUAUAUUACAUAGUUUAAAACUGAGCAUGAAAUGUGAGUCUUCAAAAGGCUAAAUUGUUGUGACUCAUACGAAUCAUCAGUAUUAGUUUCAAUGAAAAUUCUAGUUUUAUUUUUUUAAUUUUAACUCAAUAGAAACUGAUCUUGAUGAUUUCACUGUUAUUUAUAGUUUUAAGUACAUACUUGUAAGCUGUUAGAUGUUAUCCUGAAGUCUAUUUUCGAUCUACCAAUUGUUUUCAAUCCUCGUGAAAGUAGUACUUUCUGGCACUUGUUACCAAAGAUUUGAAAGAAUAACGUGACUAAGUCUUGUUCUUUGUUAAGUCUCCAAUGAUAAUAUUGGAAAGACAAACUUAAUUUUUUCAUAUAUUCAAUGUUCUGUCUAGUUGAAAGUAAUGUUAAAUGUUUAUAGAGUAGUUAAAAUAUUUUCAAAAAUUUUAGACUAGUAAAAUAUAGGCAUUUGCGAUUCAUGAAUUGAUUUUUCAUGAUCGGACUAUUUCGGACUAUGUAUUUUUGAAAAAUUUAAUAACUUUGCGCCUGUGGAUAUGUCUUAACAAAUAUAGAACCGGCUCAAAAUCCUGAUUUUUUAAUGAAAAUAAAAACAGCGGUGUAUGUUUUCUCAAAUGAAUCACUUUCGAAAUUAAAUACCGUAUGGUUGCCAUUCUUGAGUCUACAAUUUUUACGGUCUCAUUUCAAAUUCCUAUUGUCUAUUCAUUCGUUCGUUUGUUAAAAAAAGCUGUUGAAAUCUCAGUUUACGUUAGUCAGCUGUCGCCCACCUACGAAAGACAACCCUCAAAAGUGUAAACUUUCGCGAGAUAAUGAUUAACGGGGUCUUACUUUUUGAGGUGCGAUUCCUAGCACGGUCGAGAUACUACAGAUAUAUUCUAGUAUCUCUCUAAGGAAACUAGAUAUAUUCAUGGAAUUUUCAUCACCUACGAAUUCAACUGAACCAUUACAAAAAAAUGUCUGAUUAUGAUCACAAGCUAUGAAGAUUAUUCGAUGGGUAUUUCAUUAGAAAUUGUGAAAUAUAUUCAGAAAAAUAACACAGACAAAUACAUUGUUUCAUAUGACUCAUUAAUGUAUACGUGUUAUAUUGGAUACAAUGCUAUUCCGUAUCAAAAAUGAGGCUGAGUAUUUCAUAAGUUCAUAUAUUAACGUACCAAAUAUCUAAAUCUCUUUUAUCUCCUCUGAAAAUUCAUUGGUUCAUUACCAAAUUUGAUUUAUGAAAUGGAACGGUCUUGAAAACAUUCGGAUGAGUACCCAUGAAUAGUUAGGAAGAAGAGUAUAUUGGAUUCACGGGGUGAACUAGUAGUUUUCAUUUUCUACACCUGUAUAAAGUUUUCCAAUAAAUGUUUUUCACCUUUUAUAAUUACGGAAGUUAAAAAUCCCUGAGAGGCAAUUUAUUCAUUUCUUGAUGUAACUAUUCUUUGCUGAUUUCCAUAAUCCUCAUGUCUUAUGAAUGAAAUGAAUAAAAUGCAAACUCACAUAUAUAUUUAUGAAUUGGUAAAAGCAAAAAAGGCAGGGGUUACUGAAAAAAGAAUCUCUGUUUUCCAACAUAUGUAAUUUUACUAUUCUUGUUGUUGCUUGGCUUGGGUUGUUGAAACUUUUUUCAUUGCAUUAAUCUUGAUUAAAUAAAUUGUGUUAGGGUAUAUCCACAAUUGUAUAAUAUAAACAUAUCAUUCCUGAUUAUAAUAUAAGUAUACUAUGAUGA